GUGCUCACUUCAGCAGCACAUCUACUAAAAUUGGAACCAUACAGAGAAUAUUAACAUGGCCCCUGCAAAUUUGUGAAGCAUUCCAUAUUUAAAAAAAAUAAAAAUAUU